AAUCCGGAUGGGAAGCGGAUGGGGGUGAAACGAUUCUGAAACUGGGAAAAUGAAUGGGAGGAGGAGGAGAGCAGAAGGAAAGGAGACUUUGACCGCCAGUAACCCCGGCGUGUGUGUGAGAUAGAGGUACAGCACAAAGAAGAGACAGCACAAAGAGCCCAGUUUCCCUGCUACAAAGCAAACAGAGAUUUUCCUGUGUCCCUCCCCAGUCAUUCUCAACUGUGUGAAAAAGAAACCUGAACGGCAUUCAGACGACACCACUCUACGACUCAGGAGAUCUUAACCCUGUCAUUAUCCUCAACUCAGCUAUCUCGUUCGAGCCACACAAAAGAUCU